rnacentral:rRNA from 1 species
CACGUAGGCACCAAGCGUUGUCCGGAUUUAUUGGGCGUAAAGAGCUCGUAGGCGGUCUGUUGCGUCUGCUGUGAAAACCCGGGGCUUAACCCCUGGCUUGCAGUGGAUACGGACAGACUAGAGGUAGGUAGGGGAGAAUGGAAUUCCCGGUGUAGCGGUGAAAUGCGCAGAUAUCGGGAGGAACACCGGUGGCGAAGGCGGUUCUCUGGGCCUUACCUGACGCUGAGGAGCGAAAGCGUGGGGAGCGAACAGG